rnacentral:rRNA from 1 species
AACAGGAUUAGAUACCCUGGUAGUCCACGCUGUAAACGAUGUCGACUUGGAGGUUGUGCCCUUGAGGCGUGGCUUCCGGAGCUAACGCGUUAAGUCGACCGCCUGGGGAGUACGGCCGCAAGGUUAAAACUCAAAUGAAUUGACGGGGGCCCGCACAAGCGGUGGAGCAUGUGGUUUAAUUCGAUGCAACGCGAAGAACCUUACCUACUCUUGACAUCCAGAGAAUUUGCUAGAGAUAGCUUAGUGCCUUCGGGAACUCUGAGACAGGUGCUGCAUGGCUGUCGUCAGCUCGUGUUGUGAAAUGUUGGGUUAAGUCCCGCAACGAGCGCAACCCUUAUCCUUUGUUGCCAGCGAGUAAUGUCGGGAACUCAAAGGAGACUGCCGGUGAUAAACCGGAGGAAGGUGGGGAUGACGUCAAGUCAUCAUGGCCCUUACGAGUAGGGCUACACACGUGCUACAAUGGCAUAUACAAAGAGAAGCGAACUCGCGAGAGCAAGCGGACCUCAUAAAGUAUGUCGUAGUCCGGAUUGGAGUCUGCAACUCGACUCCAUGAAGUCGGAAUCGCUAGUAAUCGUAGAUCAGAAUGCUACGGUGAAUACGUUCCCGGGCCUUGUACACACCGCCCGUCACACCAUGGUAGUGGGUUGCAAAAGAAGUAGGUAGCUUAACCUUCGGGAGGGCGCUUACCACUUUGUGAUUCAUGACUGGGGUGAAGUCGUAACAAGGUAACC